UUUUCAACCCCCAGUCCCUUUUCCACCAUUGGCUCCUCUCGUGGCCUUGUGUGUGUCGCUCCCCAUCUUUGUGUGGCGCAGGCCGGAGUGAGCCAGGGAGACGGAGGGAUCCCGGCCAGCUCCUCAUCAGCGGCCAUCAGAGAUUCGCCGCUCCCUAUCAGCCCCAGCUCUGGGCGCCGUACUUGCAGGCAGCAGCGGAGGACAAGGAUCUCAGGGGCCUCCUCUUUGGCGCGCCCUCUGUUGGGCCGAGAGGGGAGGAGAAGGAGGGAUUCGAGGGGGCUGCUCGUCGGCGGUCGGCGCUUCACCGGCAACAUCGAGGAAGGUAUCCAGAUCUGCGAGGCAGCGCAAGUGAAGUCUCUGCUCACCAUCCGGAGUGGUCAGGAGCGGAGUUGAGGAGUUGAGGGAUGGAGAACUGAGCAAGCAACUUGUCACUCCUAUCUGAAUUGACUUGUCACAUCCUGUUGUCUACAGCAAACACCUGCUCAAUGCCAUUUGAAUUCACUUGGUGCCUUAGGCAAUGUGCACCAGCCAACAACUCACUGGUAUCUGACCCGCUUCCGCUGCCAUUCAUGUGAAUUUCAGUUGAUUGUGUCAUUUCGAUGACAUCUUGAUAUUCGGAUGUAUAAGUUGUAUGUCCUUCAAGGCAGCUUGUUAUUACAUGCACAGAAUGCUAUAUUUCACAAGGUUAUAUCAAUAAGUUAGUAUUUCACAGCUACAUUUAUACAUUCA